AACAAACAUUUGAUUUCCAAUAACAUAAAAUAAAUCAAUGUUAUACAUAUUGAACCAAAUACUAGGUUUAAAUACACAAUACUUUUGUUCCAGCUUAACACAAUAGUUAAUCCUUUGUCUUUCUAACUCAUACAUUUCCUGUGUAAGGUGUCCUAAGUGCUUUGCUCUUAACUCUUCUUCUUGAACCAAUCCUAACAUAAGUCCUCAGCUGUGAUUGCUUGUCAGCCAUUCCACCUGGUGCAUCUAGCGACAAUGGACCUUCUUCAUUGUUACUCAUUCCACCCCCUUCCUCGGCCAACAAACGAACAGGUGAAACGAAUGCAUCGUCAGUUGCUGCUUGUGGACAUCCAGCACUCUGAAAAUCGUCAUCUGCAGUUGACUUUUUACUUCUUCUUUUGGCCUUCUCUUUCUCCAACUCUUGCUCUAAGUCA
rnacentral:lncRNA from 1 species